rnacentral:rRNA from 1 species
AUCUGGAGAUCGAAGAAUUCACUAAAAGUUAAGAUCUUCAUGUGGUAUCUUCGGAAGGGAGUGGUGCUAACCAAAGAUAACCUCGCCCGUCGCAACUGACAUGGAAGCAAGAAGUGUGGAUUUUGUACUCAUGACGAGACAAUCAGACACCUCUUUUCUAGUGCAAGUUUGCAUGUUCUACAUGGUCAAUCAUCCAAAUAG